rnacentral:rRNA from 1 species
CGUGUAGGCGGUCAGGUAAGUGGAAUGUGAAAUGCCCCGGCUCACCCGGGGACCGGCAUCCCAAACUGCCUGGCUUGAGUAUGGGAGAGGACGGAGGAAUUCCUGGUGUAGCGGUGAAAUGCGUAGAUAUCAGGAGGAACACCGGUGGCGAAGGCGUCCAUCUGGCCCAAUACUGACGCUGAGGCGCGAAAGCUAGGGGAGCAAACGG